UGCGCGCUCUGCUGCAGUGGAACACAGCAAAGGUGUCUUGCCAGCAGCAGCACCAGUAGAAGCAGAAAAGGAAGACUGUGAUUCCUCCUGGGAUUCUGAGCCUUUUUCUGCAAUUGUAGAAGACGUGUUUGCCAGUGGGCGGCGUCCUGCUGCAGACCACAAAGGAGUGGGUGUGCGCUCUCUUGCAGCAGAGCGCAGCAAAGGAGUCUUGCAACCAGCAGAAAAAUCAGGAGAGGAUGAUAAUUCUUCUUGGGAUUCUGAGACUGAUUCUGAAGGUGAAGGGAAAGUGUUGGCUGCUGUCCAGCUUGCUGCUGCAAAGAGCAACAGGUCGGAUGUGUGCUCUGCUGCAGUGUUACACAGCAAAGGGGUCUUGAAACAAACAUGGAAAAA